rnacentral:tRNA from 1 species
AAAGGGAGACCUAAUUCAGGUAAGAGACGAAAAAAAAGUAGUCGCUACCAAGAAUCAAUCCCAAAAGGUCGGAGCGAGGCGAAAUUGGCUUUCAAACUAGGUUCUGGGUUCAAACAAGACCUGAAUCAGGAACAAGGGCUAUUAGCUCAGGUGGUUAGAGCGCACCCCUGAUAGGGGUGAGGUCCCUGGUUCGAGUCCAGGAUGGCCCACCUGUACAGGUGGCAAAAAGAAAGAAAAGAAGCGAGGAAUCAGCACCUUAUCUUACUGACAUAGUAAGAGAGAAUGCUGGCUCUGAGUAAAGAGUCCAGAGGAACCUUGAAAACUGCAUAGAGCUAGGUGAAAAAGCCAAAAAAGAAGACCGCAAG